rnacentral:RNase_P_RNA from 1 species
AGAUGGUUGGAUGGCCGCUGGUUGCAUGUAAUAAUUUGCCACUGGAGGAAAGUCCGGGCUCCACGGAAACACGAUGCCGGGUAAUACCCGGCGGGGGAAACCCUAGGGAAAGUGCCACAGAAAGUAAACCGCCUGGCUUUUUAGCCUUUGGUAAGGGUGAAAGGGUGUGGUAAGAGCGCACCGCAGUUCCAGUAAUGGACCUGGCAUGGUAAACCCCAUCGGGAGCAAGACCAAAUAGGAAUGACAUACUGAAGUAGAGAUGCUUCAGUGGGAGUGUUUUCUCUCUGUCGUUCGGGUAGGUUGCGAGAGGCGGCUGGUAACAGUCGUCCCAGAUGAAUGGUCAUCCACUCUAUCAGUUUUAAUAUUGAUAGACGGACAGAACCCGGCUUAUAGAUCAUCU